rnacentral:rRNA from 1 species
UACGUAGGGCGCAAGCGUUGUCCGGAAUUAUUGGGCGUAAAGAGCUCGUAGGCGGCUUGUCACGUCGGGUGUGAAAGCCCGGGGCUUAACCCCGGGUCUGCAUUCGAUACGGGCUAGCUAGAGUGUGGUAGGGGAGAUCGGAAUUCCUGGUGUAGCGGUGAAAUGCGCAGAUAUCAGGAGGAACACCGGUGGCGAAGGCGGAUCUCUGGGCCAUUACUUACGCUGAGGAGCGAAAGCGUGGGGAGCGAACAGG